GCGGGAAUAGCUCAGUUGGUAGAGCACGACCNUGCCAAGGUCGGGGUCGCGAGUUCGAGUCUCGUUUCCCGCUCCA
rnacentral:tRNA from 1 species